UUUGACCUCAAAUCAGGUAGGACUACCCGCUGAACUUAAGCAUAUCAAUAAGCGGAGGAAAAGAAACUACCAAGGAUUCCCCUAGU
rnacentral:rRNA from 1 species